CAUCUGCAUGGCCGCUACCCUGCUGUUCCGUGUGACCUCUGAGACAGAUGCACGUGCUACCAAGCAGGAGGCGCUGGGUGCAGGUCCAGCUAUGCUGCAGAACUCUGCGCAUGCCUGGGAGAGAAAAAGAAAAAGUUGCUCUUUGCUGUAUCCUGUGUCUAGACCGUGCCUGCUCAGCCAAGAUUUGCUGAAGGAGCAUCACAGGACCUAACUGCAAUUCCAGCACUUGGGAGGCGGAGCUGGGGAGAUAGAUAAUCAUCAAGCUUGCCUCGCCUCGCCCCCUGC
rnacentral:lncRNA from 1 species